CAUGUCCUUUUGAUAAUAAAAUUUAAGGUCUAACCUGCCCAAUGAUAAAAUAUUUAAUGGCCGCGGUACUUUGACCGUGCAAAGGUAGCAUAAUCAUUAGUUUUUUAAUUGAAAGCUGGAAUGAAGGGUUGAAUGAGAAAAUUACUGUCUUUAUUAUAUUUAAUUAAAAUUUUAUUUUUAAGUUAAAAAGCUUAAAUUUUAUUUAUAGACGAGAAGACCCUUUAGAGUUUUAUAAAUACUUAUUUAAAAUUUUUUAGGAUUAAUUUAAUUUUUAAAUUAGUUAUUUAUUUGAUUGGGGUGAUUGAAAAAUUUAAAUAACUUUUUUUUUUAUUUUACAUUUAUAUAUGAAUAAUUGAUCCAUUAAUUAUGAUUAUAAGAUUAAAUUACCUAAGGGAUAACAGCGUUAUUUUUUUUGAGAGUUCUAAUCGAAAAAAAAGUUUGCGACCUCGAUGUUGGAUUAAAAUUAAAUUAUGGUGUAGAGGCUAUAACUUUA
rnacentral:rRNA from 1 species